UACUGGCCCCUUAAGUCCCGGU
rnacentral:miRNA from 1 species